rnacentral:rRNA from 1 species
GACGAACGCUGGCGGCGUGCUUAACACAUGCCAGUCGAACGGAAAGGCCCUGCUUUUGUGGGGUGAUCGAGUGGCGAACGGGUGAGUAACACGUGAGUAACCUGCCCUUGACUUUGGGAUAACUUCAGGAAACUGGGGCUAAUACCGGAUAGGAGCUCCUGCUGCAUGGUGGGGGUUGGAAAGUUUCGGCGGUUGGGGAUGGACUCGCGGCUUAUCAGCUUGUUGGUGGGGUAGUGGCUUACCAAGGCUUUGACGGGUAGCCGGCCUGAGAGGGUGACCGGCCACAUUGGGACUGAGAUACGGCCCAGACUCCUACGGGAGGCAGCAGUGGGGAAUAUUGCACAAUGGGCGGAAGCCUGAUGCAGCAACGCCGCGUGCGGGAUGACGGCCUUCGGGUUGUAAACCGCUUUCGCCUGUGACGAAGCGUGAGUGACGGUAAUGGGUAAAGAAGCACCGGCUAACUACGUG